UACGGAGGAUCCAAGCGUUAUCCGGAUUUAUUGGUUUAAAGGGUGCGUAGGCGGGGAAUUAAGUCAGUGGUGAAAGUUUGCAGCUCAACUGUAAAAUUGCCAUUGAAACUGAUUUUCUUGAGUGUAAAUGAGGUAGGCGGAAUGUGUUGUGUAGCGGUGAAAUGCUUAGAUAUAACACAGAACACCGAUUGCGAAGGCAGCUUACUGGGAUACAACUGACGCUGAUGCACGAAAGCGUGGGGAUCAAACAGG
rnacentral:rRNA from 1 species